rnacentral:rRNA from 1 species
AUGCAAGAAGAAUUACAUCAGUUCGAGCUCAACAAUGUCUGGGAACUGGUCAAACGUCCAGAUCCUCGCAAGCAUAAUAUCAUUGGCACAAAGUGGAUCUACCGCAACAAGCAAGAUGAAAAUGGCCUUGUGGUAAGGAAUAAGGCACAACUUGUAGCUCAAGGCUACACACAGGUUGAAGGAAUUGAUUUCGAUGAAACUUUUGCACCUGUUGCUAGACUUGAGGCUAUUCGCAUAUUACUUGCUUAUGCUAAUCAUCAUGAUAUCAUCUUAUAUCAAAUGGAUGUGAAAAGUGCAUUCCUCAAUGGUAAGCUUGAGGAAGAAGUAUAUGUUGCUCAACCCCCAGGUUUUGAAGAUCCAAAGAAUCCUGGCAAAGUCUUCAGACUUAAUAAGGCCCUCUAUGGCCUCAAGCAAGCCCCUCGGGAGUGGUAUGAUACAUUGAAGGAAUUCUUCGUGAAGAAUGGCUUCACACCCGGUUCACUCGACCCUACUCUCUUUACUAAAUCUUAUGAUGGUGAACUGUUUGUGUGCCAAAUAUAUGUUGAUGAUAUUAUCUUUGGCUGUACUGACCAACGUUAUAGUGAUGAAUUUGCCUAUAUGAUGAGUGAAGAAUAUCAAAUGUCUAUGAUGGGAGACUUGAAAUUCUUCUUAGGUCUUCAAAUUCGUCAACAGCGCAAUGGCAUAUUCAUAUCUCAGGAGAGAUACCUCAAAGAUGUACUGAGGAAAUUCGGCAUGCAAGAUUGCAAAGGCGUCAAAAUUCCUAUGCCCACAAAAGGCCAUCUAUGCACCGAUGAAAAUGGUAUUGACUUCGAUCACAAGGUAUACCGCUCCAUGAUUGGUUCUUUAUUGUACUUAUGUGCAUCUAGGCCAGAUAUAAUGCUUAGUGUUUGCAUGUGUGCCCGAUUUCAAGCUGGAACAAAGGAAUCACACCAUAAGGCUGUGAAGCAUAUUCUUCAAUAUCUAACUCACACACCAACACUAGGAUUAUGGUACCCCAAGGGCUCUGCUUUUGAUCUCAUUGGAUAUUCUGACUCUGACUAUGUUGGUGAUCGUGUGGACCGCAAGUCAACUUCUGGCACUUGUCAUUUCCUCGGACGAUCUUUGGUCUGUUGGUCCUCGAAGAAACAGAACUGCGUAUCACUGUCUACUGCGGAAGCUGAAUACAUUGCUGCUGGUUCUUGCUGUGCUCAACUGCUUUGGAUGAAGCAAACACUCAAGGACUAUGGCGUCAACGUGAAGAAUGUGCCUCUCCUUUGCGACAAUGAGAGUGCCAUCAAGAUUGCUCACAACCCAGUUCAGCACUCGAAGACAAAGCACAUUCAGAUUCGUCAUCAUUUUCUUCGUGAUCAUGUGUUGAAGGGCGACAUCUCCAUCGAGCACGUGAAGACUGAAGAACAACUAGCUGAUAUCUUCACUAAGCCCUUGGAUGAGAAGAGAUUUAGCAAGUUGCGGUGUGAGCUAAAUAUCUUAGAAUCUUCGAAUGUUCUUUGA